rnacentral:tRNA from 1 species
GCCGCCGUAGCUCAGUGGUAGAGCGCACCCUUGGUAAGGGUGAGGUCACAGGUUCGAUCCCCGUCGGCGGCACCA